UUGACUGAAACCAAAUAGAGGUUUAUUAUUGUUAAUAAUAUCAUUGGAUUAAUUAUCCUAGUCAAG
rnacentral:tRNA from 1 species